UCUGUAGGCGGUGCGGCAAGUCGGAAGUGAAAUCUCAGGGCUUAACCCUGAGGCUGCUCCCGAAACUGCUGUGCUCGAGUGCGAGAGAGGCGAGUGGAAUUGCAGGUGUAGCGGUGAAAUGCGUAGAUAUCUGCAGGAACAUCCGAGGCGAAAGCGGCUCGCUGGAUCGCAACUGACGCUGAGAGACGAAAGCUAGGGGAGCAAACAGGAUUAGAUACCCUGGUAGUCCUAGCCCUAAACGAUCAUGACUGGGCGUGGGCCCUGUACGGGGCUCGUGCCGGAGCUAACGCGUUAAGUCAUGCGCCUGGGGAGUACGGUCGCAAGGCUGAA
rnacentral:rRNA from 1 species